UGCAUGAUAGCUCAGUUGGUAGAGCAUGAGACUCUUAGCCUCAGGGUCAUGGGUUCGAAUACCAUGUUGAGCAA